rnacentral:rRNA from 1 species
ACGUAGGGGACAAGCGUUGUCCGGAAUGACUGGGCGUAAAGGGCGCGUAGGCGGUCUGAUAAGUCAGAUGUGAAAGGUACCGGCUCAACCGGUGACGUGCAUUUGAAACUGUCAGACUUGAGUAUUGGAGAGGCAAGUGGAAUUCCUAGUGUAGCGGUGAAAUGCGUAGAUAUUAGGAGGAACACCAGUGGCGAAGGCGGCUUGCUGGACAAAUACUGACGCUGAGGUGCGAAAGCGUGGGGAGCGAACAG